AGGGAAUCUUCCACAAUGGACGCAAGUCUGAUGGAGCAACGCCGCGUGAGUGAAGAAGGUUUUCGGACCGUAAAGCUCUGUUGUUGGUGAAGAAGGAUAGAGGUAGUAACUGGCCUUUAUUUGACGGUAAUCAACCAGAAAGUCACGGCUAACUACGUGCCAGCAGCCGCGGUAAUACGUAGGUGGCAAGCGUUGUCCGGAUUUAUUGGGCGUAAAGCGAGCGCAGGCGGAAGAAUAAGUCUGAUGUGAAAGCCCUCGGCUUAACCGAGGAAUUGCAUCGGAAACUGUUUUCUUGAGUGCAGAAGAGGAGAGUAGAACUCCAUGUGUAGCGGUGGAAUGCGUAGAUAUAUGGAAGAAUACCAGUGGCGAAGGCGGCUCUCUGGUCUGCAACUGACGCUGAGGCUCGAAAGCAUGGGUAGCGAACAGGAUUAGAUACCCUGGU
rnacentral:rRNA from 1 species